CAGUAGCCGCGGUAAUACGUAGGGGGCGAGCGUUGUCCGAAGUUACUGGGCGUAAAGCGCGCGUAGGCGGCUUCUUAAGUCUGAGGUGAAAGGUUCGACGCUUAACGUGAACAGUGCCUUGGAUACUGGGGAGCUUGAGUAUGGGAGAGGGCAGUGGAAUGGCUGGUGUAGCGGUGAAAUGCGUAGAUAUCAGUCGGAACACCCAUGGCGAAGGCAGCUGCCUGGCCUAAUACUGACGCUGAGGUGCGAAAGCGUGGGGAGCGAACGGGAUUAGAUACCCGAGUAGUCCCUGUCUCUUAUA
rnacentral:rRNA from 1 species